AAUGGGACAGAGGCAGAAACCCAAUCCUUUGUCAAAGGACAUUUGCAACACAAUAGCAACAGAAACUAACACAAUGGGACCCAUCUAGAUGAGGCUCACCACAUGGCACCUGGGAAGAUUGCAUCAGCCAGCAAGACCCCCACCCCCUGGGAGUCUGACAACCAAUCAGGAUACUCUUUUGGGGCCCCAAGAAAUGCAGAGCCAGGGAGAGCAUAAAAACCCGAGGAUUUUCUGUAUCUGCCCUUUUUCUGUUCAGGAACUCAAGCCAUGUGAUCCUGUCCACCAUUAAACCAUCUUUCCAAGCAGUCUCCAUGUUUCCAGUGUCUGUUUCCCCACUUGGAGCAGAACCUAGAAGGAUGUUUCUUCCAACAGGAUGAAAGGAUGAUUCCAGAUGAGCUGAUCUGCUGCUCCUGAAUAGACAAGCCACGAGAUACUGACCAAGGAACCAUGGCUGAAUCUCCCUGAAACACUCCAAAGCCUUUCCACAUCUUGAACCUUCCACAGUGACUAUCCAUCUACUUUCAAAAAAACCCCAACAGAGUUGAGAAGUGGAUUUUCCUCCAGAGAUCUUCCUUGGUCCCUGGCAUUUGGAGGCUGGCUACUUUUCAUCCUAGAGCCUCGCCCAGCUCUCUGGAGUGGGAAAAGAAGAGCACCACCACUUAAUUGCUAAUAACAGG